rnacentral:lncRNA from 1 species
AGCACCUUUUGGGAAAGACCAUUCAUAACUACAAAGAAAUCAGUGAGUAGCAAGACCCCAACAUCUGACUGAACCAGAACCAGAUGGAGCCAGUCCUCCAUUCUACAUCAGACAUUCCUGGCUGGUCUGACAUUGGAAAAUCAGGUAAAAGUCAUAGAUCUGUCUUGUCUUCAGUGUAAUCACAGUUCAAUUUCAACAUUAUUUGUUGUUUCUAGUUGAUCAAGAAUCAAGAUUAAUAGACUUAAAGAGG